rnacentral:tRNA from 1 species
UGCGGGGUGGAGCAGCCUGGUAGCUCGUCGGGCUCAUAACCCGAAGGUC